rnacentral:rRNA from 1 species
ACGCUGGCGGCAGGCCUAACACAUGCAAGUCGAGCGGAAACGAUGGUAGCUUGCUACCAGGCGUCGAGCGGCGGACGGGUGAGUAACGCGUGAGAAUCUACCCAUGAGUGGGGGACAACCCGGGGAAACUCGGGCUAAUACCGCAUACGCCCUACGGGGUAAAGCAGGGGACCUUCGGGCCUUGCGCUGAUGGAUGAGCUCGCGUCGGAUUAGCUUGUUGGUGAGGUAAAGGCUCACCAAGGCGACGAUCCGUAGCUGGUCUGAGAGGAUGAUCAGCCACACCGGGACUGAGACACGGCCCGGACUCCUACGGGAGGCAGCAGUGGGGAAUCUUGGACAAUGGGGGCAACCCUGAUCCAGCCAUGCCGCGUGUGUGAAGAAGGCCUUCGGGUUGUAAAGCACUUUCAGCAGGGAGGAAGGCUUACUCUUAAUACGGGUGAGUACUUGACGUUACCUGCAGAAGAAGCACCGG